rnacentral:rRNA from 1 species
AAUACUGAGUGGCAAACGGGUGAGUAUAAUGUGGGAAUCUGCCUUUUGGUUUGGAAUAACAUGGGGAAACUCGUGCUAAUACCGGAUAAGCCUUCACAGGGAAAGUUUUAUACGCCAAAAGAUGAGCCCGCACUUGAUUAGCUAGUUGGUGAGGUAAAAGCUCACCAAGGCAAUGAUCAAUAGCUGUUCUUAGAGGAAGACCAGCCACAUUGGGACUGAGACACGGCCCAGACUCCUACGGGAGGCAGCAGUAAGGAAUCUUGCACAAUGGGGGAAACCCUGAUGCAGCGAUGCCGCGUGAGUGAAGAAGGCCUUUGGGUUGUAAAACUCUUUCGUCGGGGAGGAAAAUGACUGUACCCGAAUAAGAAGGUCCGGCUAACUUCGUGCCAGCAGCCGCGGUAAUACGAAGGGACCUAGCGUAGUUCGGAAUUACUGGGCUUAAAGAGCUCGUAGGUGGUUAGAAAAGUUGAUGGUGAAAUCCCAAGGCUCAACCUUGGAACUGCCAUCAAAACUUUUUAGCUAGAGUGUGAUAGAGGAAAGUGGAAUUUCUAGUGUAGAGGUGAAAUUCGUAGAUAUUAGAAAGAACACCAAAUGCGAAGGCAACUUUCUGGGUCACAACUGACACUGAGGAGCGAAAGCAUGGGUAGCGAAGAGGAUUAGAUACCCUCGUAGUCCAUGCCGCAAACGAUGUGUGCUAGACGUUGGAAAUUUAUUUUUCAGUGUCGCAGCGAAAGCAUUAAGCACACCGCCUGGGGAGUACGACCGCAAGGUUAAAACUCAAAUGAAUUGACGGGGACCCGCACAAGCAGUGGAGCAUGUGGUUUAAUUCGAAGAUACGCGCAGAACCUUACCAACACUUGACAUGUUCGUCGCGAGCCUAAGAGAUUAGGCUAUUCAGUUCGGCUGGACGAAACACAGGUGCUGCAUGGCUGUCGUCAGCUCG